rnacentral:rRNA from 1 species
AGUGAACGCUGGCGGUAGGCCUAACACAUGCAAGUCGAACGGCAGCACAGUAAGAGCUUGCUCUUACGGGUGGCGAGUGGCGGACGGGUGAGGAAUACAUCGGAAUCUACUUUUUCGUGGGGGAUCACGUAGGGAAACUUACGCUAAUACCGCAUACGACCUACGGGUGAAAGCAGGGGAUCUUCGGACCUUGCGCGAUUGAAUGCGCCGAUGUCGGAUUAGCUAGGUGGCGGGGUAAAGGCCCACCAAGGCGACGAUCCGUAGCUGGUCUGAGAGGAUGAUCAGCCACACUGGAACUGAGACACGGUCCAGACUCCUACGGGAGGCAGCAGUGGGGAAUAUUGGACAAUGGGCGCAAGCCUGAUCCAGCCAUACCGCGUGGGUGAAGAAGGCCUUCGGGUUGUAAAGCCCUUUUGUUGGGAAAGAAAAGCAGCAGGUUAAUACCCCGCUGUUCUGACGGUACCCAAAGAAUAAGCACCGGCUAACUUCGUG